rnacentral:lncRNA from 1 species
GUUGAGAAUAAAAAAGUUAGUCAAAAGAUAAAGUUAGUCAAAAGAUAAUCAAGGAUCCCUUAAUUAUAGGGAUCCUCAUGAUGUUGCAGGAAUAUUCAUGAUGUUGUAGGGAUCCUCAUGAUGUUGUAGGAAUCCUCAUGAUGUUGUAGGGUUCCUCAUGAUGUUGUAGAAUAUCAGCUCCCUUUCUAAACACUAUAAAAGGGGAUGAUUGUAUCAGCAGGAAAUAUCAAGAAAAAGAAAUACAAAAACAAUAUUCAAGAAACAAAUUCUCUCUUCUAUGAUGAUAACAUGUUUUUUAACAUGGUAUCAAAGCAAGGUUAAAUCCUUGAAACUCAGAAAAUUAUCAUCAUAGUUUCCAAAUCCCUUUCUCAAACCUCUUUUUUUUUCGAUCAAACCUGUUCUUAUCUCACGCUGUUUUCCCUGAAAACAAACCACAAAACAAAACAUGUCAGAAGAAACCCAAAUUACCGAUCCAAAAACAACAGCCUCACAAGAAUUAUCACUACAGAUUGCAAAUUUAGUGCAAAACUCAAACACCAUCUCGCUGGGAAUCAAGCUUGAUGGCAAUAACUACGCCCUAUGGGCUCGUCUCAUGAAGGUGGCCAUAGGGAGUAGAGGGAAAUC